GAGUUUGAUCCUGGCUCAGGAUGAACGCUAGCGGCAGGCCUAAUACAUGCAAGUCGAACGAGCUUGAGUAGCAAUACUUGAGUUAGUGGCGCACGGGUGCGUAACGCGUAUGCAACCUACCUUUUCCUGGGGGAUAGCCCGUCGAAAGACGGAUUAAUACCGCAUAACACCAUUUGAGGGCAUCCGAAGAUGGUCAAAGCUUUCGGGCGGGAGAAGAUGGGCAUGCGUGCCAUUAGCUAGUUGGCGGGGUAAAGGCCCACCAAGGCGACGAUGGCUAGGGGUUCUGAGAGGAUGGUCCCCCACACUGGUACUGAGACACGGACCAGACUCCUACGGGAGGCAGCAGUAGGGAAUAUUGGGCAAUGGGCGAGAGCCUGACCCAGCCAUGCCGCGUGCAGGAAGAAGGCCUUCUGGGUUGUAAACUGCUUUUAUCAGGGAAGAAAACGCUCUUGCGAGAGUAACUGACGGUACCUGGUGAAUAAGCACCGGCUAACUCCGUGCCAGCAGCCGCGGUAAUACGGAGGGUGCAAGCGUUGUCCGGAUUUAUUGGGUUUAAAGGGUGCGUAGGCGGCCCGUUAAGUCAGCGGUGAAAUCCCAGGGCUCAACCCUGGAACUGCCGUUGAUACUGGCGGGCUUGAGUUCGGUCGAGGCGGGCGGAACUGGUGGUGUAGCGGUGAAAUGCAUAGAUACCACCAAGAACCCCGAUUGCGUAGGCAGCUCGCUAGGCCGAAACUGACGCUGAGGCACGAAAGCGUGGGGAGCGAACAGGAUUAGAUACCCUGGUAGUCCACGCCGUAAACGAUGAGUACUCGAUGUUGGCGAUACACAGCCAGCGUCCAAGCGAAAGCGUUAAG
rnacentral:rRNA from 1 species